rnacentral:rRNA from 1 species
AUGAACGCUGGCGGCGUGCCUAAUACAUGCAAGUCGAGCGAACAGACGAGGAGCUUGCUCCUCUGACGUUAGCGGCGGACGGGUGAGUAACACGUGGAUAACCUACCUAUAAGACUGGGAUAACUUCGGGAAACCGGAGCUAAUACCGGAUAAUAUAUUGAACCGCAUGUUUCAAUAGUGAAAGACGGUUUUGCUGUCACUUAUAGAUGGAUCCGCGCCGCAUUAGCUAGUUGGUAAGGUAACGGCUUACCAAGGCAACGAUGCGUAGCCGACCUGAGAGGGUGAUCGGCCACACUGGAACUGAGACACGGUCCAGACUCCUACGGGAGGCAGCAGUAGGGAAUCUUCCGCAAUGGGCGAAAGCCUGACGGAGCAACGCCGCGUGAGUGAUGAAGGUCUUCGGAUCGUAAAACUCUGUUAUUAGGGAAGAACAAAUGUGUAAGUAACUAUGCACGUCUUGACGGUACCUAAUCAGAAAGCCACGGCUAACUACGUG